AAACGGAGAAAAAGAAAAUGUACUAAACAUAUAUUUAGAAAGCAAAAGUCGAAAGAAUAAUAAAGAAGAGUUAUGUUCCGAAACACAAUUCUUUUGUCAACCAGAACAUAUAAACACGAAAGAAGACGGGGAAAAUUAUGAAAGGGAGACACAAGUUAACGUAAAUCAAGAUCCAAUAAUUAUACGACAACCUCAAGUUGUACUAACGAGACUUAAACGUAAAGAGUAUGAAAAGUAUACUAACACUGAUCGACAGCCAUUAGCUUCUAUUGAAAAUACUAUUGCGUCAAAAAUUACGCAAAAAUACAGAAGAAAAGUACACAAAUAUUGUAGCUGUUGCAACUAAAUAAUGGUAUAAAUAUAACGCAUUUAUAACAUUCCAGAAGAUGAUUUUGGAUAUUGGUACGAAGAUCAAGAAAGUACCUUAGAAAGCGACUGUGUACCCUAUCACAAAGUCGAAAGACAUUCUCUGGAAAC